UCCAACUAUUAUACAAUAAAACAAGUUAGAUGAAGAAUCAUGAAUGUUAUAUAUCUCACACAAGGAAAGCAUAUCUUCAUAAUUACAAAAGUGGUAUUCAAUUGAUGACAUAGAUCCAUAUUCAUUGCUUGUGUUCUCCUGUCAUGGAGAUCAUCCAUAAAAGAAUAAAGGAAAACUCAAAGGAACUUAUUACAAUGAAAGCCAAAAGCAACUAAAAGUGAUUAAGGUUUAACUUCUGUUCAACCUGUCACUUGGCAACCAAAUUAUUAAGGUGAGCUCCAAUACCAGCUGUGAACCAUGAUUCACUUAAGUAGGCAUCUGAAGUGGUUAAUAGUCUAUGAUUCUACUAAUUCUAGCUGAAUGUGGGAAUCUUCUAUCUUGUAAUUCCAGUGCCAGCUUCCGCUGUCCACCGUCCUCGGAUCAAUCGGAUCUAACUGUAUCGCUAAACCUGCAUUAAUCCAAAUAUUAAUUCAUGAACUCAUAUAAGCAUUUCUGUCUAGAAAAAACGACCCAAAGGGGAGGCGGGUGGGGGUAAUUUUAACCAUUUGUAAUAUAAAUUCUUUAGACCAAAAUCUCUAUCGACAUUCAACGACUAAAGAGAACAAAAAUCAUGACUGAGAAUUCCAAGAGGAUUAAGAUUCUCAGAAUAAUCAUGAGAUCCACCCUAAGAUAUAUUAUUUUUUAGGCAAUUAAAACAAUAUUUUUUUAUUUUCAUUAAAAAUUAAUUUUAAAUAAAAACUAGACGGUAUGAUCGGUACGGUUCAAUUGAAAACCGAUCAGUAUGACCAUUUUUAGCCAGUUUUGACCGGUAUGAUUGCAUGACCAAUAUAAUUAUUGUACCGUACUAGUAUUGGGACCGGUUCACCGAUUUAAUCCACUGAUAUGAAACAGUUUUAACAACACUACACAUUUAAUAUUUCCCUUCUCCUCAUCCCAAUCUUUCAAAAGUUUAAUUUUUAUGCAUGGUAUACAUUCAUAAUCAUUUGUAUUCCUUUUGCUAAAGUAGUAAAUGAUGUUAUUAGUAUAAAUUCUUUUUACAUGAAUACUUCUUUUAACUCCUUAAUUAAAGAAUCUAUAUUUACAAAAAAAAUUAUACUGAUAUGUGAAAAUUAUGAACAAUUUGCAUUUUUAAUGUAUGAAAUGCUGAUGGUAUAUACAUCUUAAAUUUACAUGGAUAAAGUCCUAGGAAGAAUUAAUUAUCAUUUAAGAACUUGCAUCUCAGACUUUUCAGAAACAACAUUAAAGAAACUAGAUCAAUUAGGAGCAAUGUAUAGAUUUAAAACUCCAUAUUCUGGUUUGUAGUGUGCAUGACAAUGAAGUUGGCAAAUUGAAGAGAAUGCAAGUCCUUAAAGAAUUCAAUCUGAUUUGUUCUUUCUUACACAAUAUGUGCCCGGCCCGGCAGGAACUCCAAAUACUCGGAUUCGUUAUAGUACCCUCUAUGAUACUCCAACCACCCCACGAAUUAAAGUGUGAGCAAUGAACAUUCCUAACCUACCUUGUGGUAAAAUUCAAAAUCUAUUUAUAGAAUAAGGGUGACAAGAAUCCAACUAUUAUACAAUAAAACAAGUUAGAUGAAGAAUCAUGAAUGUUAUAUAUCUCACACAAGGAAAGCAUAUCUUCAUAAUUACAAAAGUGGUAUUCAAUUGAUGACAUAGAUCCAUAUUCAUUGCUUGUGUUCUCCUGUCAUGGAGAUCAUCCAUAAAAGAAUAAAGGAAAACUCAAAGGAACUUAUUACAAUGAAAGCCAAAAGCAACUAAAAGUGAUUAAGGUUUAACUUCUGUUCAACCUGUCACUUGGCAACCAAAUUAUUAAGGUGAGCUCCAAUACCAGCUGUGAACCAUGAUUCACUUAAGUAGGCAUCUGAAGUGGUUAAUAGUCUAUGAUUCUACUAAUUCUAG
rnacentral:lncRNA from 1 species